AACGAACGCUGGCGGCAUGCCUAACACAUGCAAGUCGAACGAGACCUUCGGGUCUAGUGGCGCACGGGUGCGUAACGCGUGGGAACCUGCCCUUAGGUUCGGAAUAACUCCCCGAAAGGGGUGCUAAUACCGGAUAAUGUCUUCGGACCAAAGAUCUAUCGCCUUUGGAUGGGCCCGCGUUGGAUUAGCUAGUUGGUAGGGUAAAAGCCUACCAAGGCGACGAUCCAUAGCUGGUCUGAGAGGAUGAUCAGCCACACUGGGACUGAGACACGGCCCAGACUCCUACGGGAGGCAGCAGUGGGGAAUAUUGGACAAUGGGCGAAAGCCUGAUCCAGCAAUGCCGCGUGAGUGAUGAAGGCCUUAGGGUUGUAAAGCUCUUUUACCCGGGAUGAUAAUGACAGUACCGGGAGAAUAAGCUCCUGCUAACUCCGUG
rnacentral:rRNA from 1 species